rnacentral:rRNA from 1 species
GCACUAUCAGAUGAGCCUGCGUUGGAUUAGCUUGUUGGUGGGGUAAAGGCCCACCAAGGCGACGAUCCAUAACUGGUCUGAGAGGAUGAUCAGUCACACCGGAACUGAGACACGGUCCGG